UACGAAGGGUGCAAGCGUUACUCGGAAUUACUGGGCGUAAAGCGUGCGUAGGUGGUUCGUUAAGUCUGAUGUGAAAGCCCUGGGCUCAACCUGGGAAUGGCAUUGGAUACUGGCGACCUAGAGUGCGGUAGAGGGGUGCGGAAUUCCCGGUGUAGCAGUGAAAUGCGUAGAUAUCGGGAGGAACAUCCGUGGCGAAGGCGGCACCCUGGACCAGCACUGACACUGAGGCACGAAAGCGUGGGGAGCAAACAGG
rnacentral:rRNA from 3 species